UACAGAGGGGGCAAGCGUUGUUCGGAAUUACUGGGCGUAAAGGGCGCGUAGGCGGCCUUCUAAGUCGAACGUGAAAUCCCCCGGGCUCAACCCCGGGAACUGCGUCCGAUACUGGAAGGCUUGAAUCCGGGAGAGGGAUGCGGAAUUCCAGGUGUAGCGGUGAAAUGCGUAGAUAUCGGGAGGAACACCAGUGGCGAAGGCGGCGUCCUGGACUGGUACUGGACGCUGAGGAGCGGAAAGCGUGGGGAGCGAGUCCGGA
rnacentral:rRNA from 1 species